UACGUAGGGACCGAGCGUUGUCCGGAUUCAUUGGGCGUAAAGGGUGCGUAGGCGGCGCGGUAAGUCGGGUGUGAAAUCUCGGAGCUUAACUUCGAAACUGCAUUCGAUACUGCCGUGCUUGAGGACUGGAGAGGAGACUGGAAUUUACGGUGUAGCGGUGAAAUGCGUAGAUAUCUGGAGGAACACCGGUGGCGAAGGCGGCAUCCUGGACCAACACUGACACUGAGGAGCGAAAGCCAGGGAGCAAACGGG
rnacentral:rRNA from 1 species